GUGCCAGCCGCCGCGGUAAUACCGGCAGCACGAGUGAUGGCCGAUUUUAUUGGGCCUAAAGCGUUCGUAGCCGGCCGGACAAGUCCGUUGGGAAAUCCACGCGCUCAACGCGUGGGCGUCCAGCGGAAACUAUCCGGCUUGGGGCCGGAAGACUCGAGGGGUACGUCCGGGGUAGGAGUGAAAUCCCGUAAUCCUGGACGGACCACCGGUGGCGAAAGCACCUCGAGAAGACGGCUCCGACGGUGAGGGACGAAAGCCAGGGUCUCGAACCGGAUUAGAAACCCCGGUAGUCC
rnacentral:rRNA from 1 species